CUGUGUGGAAACUGGGAUUUGAACGGCGGGCAGGAAGUACUCGAGUAGGGAGUCUGGCCUAGUGAAAGUCUCUGUUUCCUCCUUUUCUUACUUUUCACUCAAUAAAACCCUGCUUUACACACCCUUCAAACCAUCUGUGAGCCUGAAUUUUUACGGCCAUGGGACAGACAAGGAUCCUGUCUUUAUCUAAACUAAGGAAAAGUCCUGCAACAUUUGUGGUGCACAACGUGGGGCUCGAGAAGUGGAAAACGCCUAUUUUGGAGUGAAACCAGGGCCGCCUUAUGAGCUAAACAGAGUGUGUUACAGCUUCAAUAGACUAAACAAGCUCUAAAUUUAUCUUCCUAUGGUCACGGGAUCUCAUAUAUUCUGGCUGUCAUUGUCAUAAUAAGCCACUCUUGGUCAUAUGGAAAAGCAUUCAGCUGCUCCCUGCCUUUGCUCACAGCGUGUGGUACUCUCUUAGAAGCUAUUCCUGGUUCAUUGGUAAUUUGCUAAAAGAAUGCCAGUGGGAACAGAACAGAAGCAUUUUCAAGAUUAAAUUGGCAAUGGUUGUGACUGAUUGGAUGAAGGAAGUAAGGGGGAGAGAUUCAUCAGAGAAAGAAGGCUUCUUUAAGCAGCAGAAUUGAGGAAUGAGUCAGAAAAUAAAAGAGCAAACAGGCUCAUUGGCAGAAGGGACUAGCCUUAUCUGAGUCUUUGAACUUGAACCUUUGAGUUAAUGCUAGAAUGAGGAAUGCUGAAGAUCACAGGGAGCCCUUGGAAGCUAGGAAAAGGCAAUGAAAGGCUUUUACCUAGAACCUGCAGAGACAACAUGGCCCUACUACCUCUUGAUUUCAGAAUUCUGGUCUCCUGAACUAAAAGAUUAAGGAAUAAGAAUAUCUAUCUUAUGCCUAUUCCAACUUCAGAGGGAGCAUCACUCUGUAGAAACCUUGAUUUGAACUUCUGGCCUUCUGCACUGGAAGAGAGUAAAUUUCUGUUGUUUUAAGCUACCAAGUUCAUGGUUGUUUCCAUUUCUUUUUAAGUUUAAGAGCAUAUUUUAGAUUCCAUCUUAAGACAAUGUAACAGCUGUGAGUCUUUUCAUGAGAAAGAAAAGAAGGCAGUUAGUCUAUAAUGAAGAUGAACUGUCAAGAGCAUGUGAAGGGGAAAGGGGUCUUCCCUGGCACCAAUCAGUCAUUUAUAUUUUACAAAACAAUGCAGCAACCUUAAUUCCUGCCUCCUCAGAAGAAAGAAUUUGACUAAGGAGCAUAAGGCAGAAGAAGAGACAGAGGCAAGUUUCCGAGCAGAAAUGAAUGUUGAUUUAAAAACUUUAGAGCAGAAAUGAAAGGAAGUAAAUUACACUUGGAAGAAGGCCAAGCUGGCAGAUUGACAGAUCAAGUGCACAGUUUGACUUUUUGACUUGGGGUUUUCUAUGUUGGCAUGCUUCCAGAGGCUUCCAUCCCUUCCCCCGAUUCUUCUCUUGGGGUGGACUCUUUGCCUGUACAGCGACCUACCAGCAUGUGGGAGGGGUUGUACACGCAGUGUGUUUACUGGAGUUGUGCACAUGCUCACUUGAGGUGUUCUGCCUGUACCAGCCUGAAUGUUCCUAGGUCGUAUACCAGUUAAACUCUGCCUUUUUGCCACUUAAUGCACAUGCUUGAGCCCACUCGCCCACCUCCUGAGAUCUAAUUGGGAAGCUGGUGAUUACCAGUUUCAGGUUUGUCUGUUUAUUAAGAGGUGUUUAUUUUCCUUGGUGCUGGCUGUGACCAAUUUUUUUUUUAGAGAUACAGCUAACAACAGUCUGACUGUCAUCUAAUGGUCACCUGAAUUCCUGGCGUGUGUGUGUGUGUGUGUGUGUGUGUGUGUGUGUGUGUGUCUGGUGUGCUCUCCUACUGUGCUCAUGUCUGACCUACUGUAACCAAAUGGGCCAUCAAAUUAGAGAAAAUUUUUGUGUUUCAAUAGAAACCUGUAUUUUCUACAG
ensembl:lncRNA LINC02008 long intergenic non-protein coding RNA 2008